rnacentral:rRNA from 1 species
AGCGAACGCUGGCGGCAGGCUUAACACAUGCGAGUCGAGCGGGCAUCCUUGUGGUGUCAGCGGCAGACGGGUGAGUAACGCGUGGGAACGUGCCCUUCGGUUCGGAAUAACUCAGGGAAACUUGAGCUAAUACCGGAUACGUGCGAGAGCAGAAAGGUUUAUCUGCCGAAGGAUCGGCCCGCGUCUGAUUAGCUAGUUGGUGAGGUUAUGGCUCACCAAGGCGACGAUCAGUGGCUGGUCUGAGAGGAUGAUCAGCCACACUGGGACUGAGACACGGCCCAGACUCCUACGGGAGGCAGCAGUGGGGAAUAUUGGACAAUGGGGGCAACCCUGAUCCAGCCAUGCCGCGUGAGUGAUGACGGCCUUAGGGUUGUAAAGCUCUUUUCUCCGGGACGAUAAUGACGGUACCGGAGGAAUAAGCCCCGGCUAACUUCGUG